GGUAUAAAAUAAAAGAUAGAGUGCAGUGUAAGGAAUGAAUUACCUGAUCUAACAAAAGGCAGCGUCAAACAGAAAAGUCUUCAGCCUUGAUUUAAAAGAACUGAGAGUUCUCUGGGAAUUUGUUCCAGAUAUGUGGAGCAGAAAAACUGAACAUUUCUUCUCCAGGUUUAGUUUGGACUCAGGGGACAGACAGCAGAGCGGUCCCAGACCACCUGAGAGGUCCGGAUUGUUCAUCAUGAAGCAAAGAUCAGAAAUGUAUUCUGGGCCUAAACCAUUCAG